UACGAGGGGGGCAAGCGUUGUUCGGAAUUAUUGGGCGUAAAGGGUGCGUAGGCGGUGCGGUAAGUCUGUUGUGAAAUCUCCGGGCUCAACUCGGAGUCUGCAUCAGAAACUGCCGUGCUGGAGUGUGGGAGAGGUGAGUGGAAUUCCCGGUGUAGCGGUGAAAUGCGUAGAGAUCGGGAGGAACACCUGCGGCGAAGGCGGCACUCUGGGCCGUGACUGACGCUGAGGAGCGAAAGCGUGGGUAGCAAACAGG
rnacentral:rRNA from 1 species